UACGUAGGGACCAAGCGUUGUUCGGAUUUACUGGGCGUAAAGGGCGCGUAGGCGGCAUAUUAAGUCAGCUGUGAAAUCUCCGAGCUUAACUCGGAACUGUCAGCUGAUACUGAUGUGCUAGAGUGCAGAAAGGGCAAUCAGAAUUCUUGGUGUAGCGGUGAAAUGCGUAGAUAUCAGGAGGAACACCGGUGGCGAAGGCGGAUCUCUGGGCCUUGCCUGACGCUGAGGCGCGAAAGCUAGGGGAGCGAACAGG
rnacentral:rRNA from 1 species